CCUACGGGUGGCAGCAGUGAGGAAUAUUGGUCAAUGGACGAGAGUCUGAACCAGCCAAGUAGCGUGAAGGAUGACUGCCCUAUGGGUUGUAAACUUCUUUUAUAAAGGAAUAAAACGAGGCACGUGUGCCUUUUUGCAUGUACUUUAUGAAUAAGGAUCGGCUAACUCCGUGCCAGCAGCCGCGGUAAUACGGAGGAUCCGAGCGUUAUCCGGAUUUAUUGGGUUUAAAGGGAGCGUAGAUGGGUUGUUAAGUCAGUUGUGAAAGUUUGCGGCUCAACCGGAAAAUUGCAAUUGAUACUGGCAGUCUGGAGUGUGCGAGAAGUAUGCGGAAUGCGUGGUGUAGCGGUGAAAUGCAUAGAUAUCACGCAGAACUCCGAUUGCGAAGGCAGCAUACCGGCGCGCAACUGACGCUGAGGCACGAAAGCGUGGGGAUCGAACAGGAUUAGAUACCCUGGUAGUC
rnacentral:rRNA from 1 species